rnacentral:rRNA from 1 species
GAUGAACGCUGGCGGCGUGCCUAAUACAUGCAAGUCGAACGCACAGCGAAAGGUGCUUGCACCUUUCAAGUGAGUGGCGAACGGGUGAGUAACACGUGGACAACCUGCCUCAAGGCUGGGGAUAACAUUUGGAAACAGAUGCUAAUACCGAAUAAAACUCAGUGUCGCAUGACACAAAGUUAAAAGGCGCUUUGGCGUCACCUAGAGAUGGAUCCGCGGUGCAUUAGUUAGUUGGUGGGGUAAAGGCCUACCAAGACAAUGAUGCAUAGCCGAGUUGAGAGGCUGAUCGGCCACAUUGGGACUGAGACACGGCCCAAACUCCUACGGGAGGCUGCCGUAGGGAAUCUUCCACAAUGGGCGAAAGCCUGAUGGAGCAACGCCGCGUGUGUGAUGAAGGCUUUCGGGUCGUAAAGCACUGUUGUAUGGGAAGAACAGCUAGAAUAGGGAAUGAUUUUAGUUUGACGGUACCAUACCAGAAAGGGACGGCUAAAUACGUGCCAGCAGCCGCCGUAA